rnacentral:rRNA from 1 species
GGACUACCAGGGUAUCUAAUCCUGUUUGCUCCCCACGCUUUCGCGUCUCAGCGUCAGUACCGUCCCAGCGAGCUGCCUUCGCCAUAGGUGUUCCUCCUGAUAUCUGCGCAUUUCACCGCUACACCAGGAAUUCCACUCGCCCCUUCCGGACUCUAGCCCGACAGUAUCCACCGGCUUUCCAGGGUUGAGCCCUGGACUUUUACAGCGGACUGAUCGGGCCGCCUACACGCUCUUUACGCCCAAUGAUUCCGGACAACGCUUGCACCCUACGUAUUACCGCGGCGGCUGGCAC